rnacentral:sRNA from 1 species
GUCCGCCCGCCCUCGGCUCCUCCGCCGUGAUGCUGUCCCGGUCCCGCUGUGUGUCCCGGGCGUUCAGCCGCUCGCUCUCCGCCUUCCAGAAGGGGAACUGCCCUCUAGGGAGACGUUCCCUGCCUGGGGUCUCCUUAUGCCAGGGACCAGGUUACCCUAACAGCAGGAAGGUUGUGUAAGUAUCACUGGGGAGUACAGAUAUGUGGCCACGGGUUAUUUAUUUAAAGACAUCAAGUUCUAAAUUUGACCAUCUGAUUUCUUCACUGGCCUCCAGACCUAGAAAUUGAGGUGAUUAUGUUGAGUCCCUAGACUAACCUUAAUGUUCACUUUUCCCAUGUGAUGUUCCUUGAGCAUCAGCUCCGUGUCAGGUUUUGGACUGGGAGUGUGCCCACUCUCCACAGGUGUUUGGAUUAUAAUGAAAGUUAAGUUGGAAUCCUCUUUUUAUGGGAUAUAGAAGGGUGCUCCUAGAUAUUCUAUUUGGAUGUAAGUGCAGCUGAAAGGCUCGAGGUUACAUUUAUUGUGGAGAUUGAGAGCAUCCUCUCAGUAGCAUAGUUACUCAUUUUUA